rnacentral:lncRNA from 1 species
GCCUCCCCUGCCCGUCUUCUUUUCCCAGUGUUGCCUUGAAAUGCCCAGCCUGCUGGCCACAGCCACUCCUCCUGUGCCCUCAGGGCCCCCUUGCCUCUUGCAGUUUGGCCCAUGAAAGUAGGAGGAAGAUGUGCUUGGGCGUUGGUCCAUUGUGCAGCUCUGUGCUCCGAGGAAUAAAGCAGCAGUGGUGUUACUGUGGCACUGGCUCUUCCCUGGGAGUCGCUCUCUGUGGGCUUUGGAAACAUUGGCUUUUAAGGCUUGCCCAGCAAGUUGAUGACUCAGUUGGAAAACCCAGGCCUGCGAGUGGUGCUUUCUGCUGUCCCUCUGCGUGGCCAUGCAGCAGGACUGUGACCACGGAUGUGGCAUCCGGUGAGGUGGCCACCAGCCACGUGUGACUUGGAGUACCUGACAAGUAACUGGUGCACCUGAGGAAGCGCAGUGUGUGUGUGCGGCGCCUGGUCACGCUGCUGCAUGCAUGCAGACUCUCCAGGACAGCUUUGAACUUGCUAGGUAUCUCAGGCUGGCCUUGAGCUCACAAUCCUCCUGCCUCAGCCCCCCCAGUGCUGAGAUUACAGGCACAUGCUCUCUUUGCACCUGGC